rnacentral:rRNA from 1 species
GACGAACGCUGGCGGCGUGCUUAACACAUGCAAGUCGAGCGAGCGGCGGACGGGUGAGUGAUGUAUGGGGAUCUGCCCGAUAGAGGGGGAUAACUACUGGAAACGGUAGCUCAUACCGCAUACCCUCGGAUGUGCCCAGAUGGGAUUAGCUAGUAGGGGGGGUAACGGCUCACCUAGGCGACGAUCCCUAGCUGGUCUGAGAGGAUGACCAGCCACACUGGAACUGAGACACGGUCCAGACUCCUACGGGAGGCAGCAGUGGGGAAUAUUGCACAAUGGGCGCAAGCCUGAUGCAGCCAUGCCGCGUGUAUGAAGAAGGCCUUCGGGUUGUAAAGUACUUUCAGCGAGGAGGCGUUACUCGCAGAAGAAGCACCGGCUAACUCCGUGCCAGCAGCCGCGGUAAUAC